rnacentral:rRNA from 1 species
GGGUCUACCCAUUGGUCAGGCUUAAUUGUCUGCACUGGUGAGAUGGAUCUCUACCUUCUGAGGAACUUUCAUGCCAUUUAUUUGGUGUGGUUGGAAAUCAGGACUGUUACUUUGAAAAAAUUAGAGUGUUUAAAGCAGACUAUCGUCUGAAUACAUUAGCAUGGAAUAAUGAAAUAGGACGGACUGAUUCUAUUUCGUUGGUUUCUAGGAUCACCGUA